rnacentral:lncRNA from 1 species
UUAUUUCCGCAUCCAAUAGGAAACUUAAAUCUUCAUGUCUUUUCUAGUUAGCUAUCUGCUGGUCUUUAUGGACAAGUAGAUCUAGAAUUUUUUUUGUUGAGGAUGGUGUGUUGAAUGUUUAUGACAUAGUUGAAUCCUAGAAGUAUCUUUUCGUUGGAAUUGGGGUUUGUUAGGCCCACGGGUGUUUACAUUUCAAUUGGUAUCUUUGGUAGUCUGAUUUGAGUUAAUGUAUGUCUAAUUUUUAGUUUCUU